rnacentral:rRNA from 1 species
GACGAACGCUGGCGGCGUGCUUAACACAUGCAAGUCGAACGGAAAGGCCCCUUUGGGGGUACUCGAGUGGCGAACGGGUGCGUAACACGGGAGUAACCUGCCCUUGACUUCGGGAUAACUUCAGGAAACUGGGGCUAAUACCGGAUAGGAAUCCUUGCUGCAUGGUGGGGGUUGGAAAGCUUCGGCGGUUUUGGAUGGACUCGCGGCUUAUCAGCUUGUUGGUGGGGUAGUGGCUUACCAAGGCUUUGACGGGUAGCCGGCCUGAGAGGGCGACCGGCCACAUUGGGACUGAGAGACGGCCCAGACUCCUACGGGAGGCAGCAGUGGGGAAUAUUGCACAAUGGGCGGAAGCCUGAUGCAGCAGCGCCGCGUGCGGGAUGACGGCCUUCGGGUUGUAAACCGCUUUCAGCAGGGGCGAAGCUUGUGGUGACGGUACCUGCAGAAGAAGCACCGGCUAACUACGUG